AAAAAUAUUUUUCAGUUCGCCUCAUACAAUACCCUAAUACAGUCUCGUUAUCUUGAAAGUGCAACUCACAAAUGUAGACUUAUUUUUUACAUAACUGCACUCGAAAACAAAUAAGUCCUACAAUGAAAAACUUCAGAGCCAACA